rnacentral:rRNA from 1 species
UACAGAGGUCUCAAGCGUUGUUCGGAAUCACUGGGCGUAAAGGGUGCGUAGGCCGCACGGAAAGUCAGGGGUGAAAUCCCGGAGCUCAACUCCGGAAUUGCCUCCGAUACUCCCGUGCUUGAGGACUGGAGAGGAGUCUGGAAUUCACAGUGGAGCAGUGAAAUGCGUAGAUAUUGUGAGGAACACGAGUGGCGAAGGCGAGACUCUGGACAGUUCCUGACGCUGAGGCACGAAGGCCAGGGGAGCAAACGGG